UCGAAAAAUGUCCCAGAGCUAAUACCCUUCAGAAAGUCAGAGGUGAGAGGAGGAACUAGAGUUCAAGGCAAAGAUCUGGGAAGGGGGAGAGGGCAGAAGCAAGUCACAGGAAGGCAGGCAUUUAAGACAUGCGGAGAGUGGCCUUCUGAGAGAGCAGAGGGAAGGUGGAUGGCAGCUCCGUGAUCAUGUGCUGUCGAGUCAAUCCUUGGGGAAAAGAGGAGCUGAAAAAAUAUUUGGGAGCUAUCACAGGAGGUGUCUUCUGAGCCGCUGUGGAGUGGAUGGAGAUGUCACAAAGGCCGUCGUGGACACUGAUUUGUAGCAGGGGAGAUGCGAACAUGGUGAAAUUAUGAUGGAGGAAAGAUGGUGACGGUGAAUAUAAGCUGUACUUAGAUCCAGAAAGAGAAAAAUAGAUUAAAAAACAAAGCUUUCCCCCAGAUCAAGGGGCAGGUUCAGGGACCGUGCGCCACAACAACUGAGCCUGUGCUCUAGAGCCCGCGAGCCAC